rnacentral:rRNA from 1 species
ACGCACGCUGGCGGCGUGCUUAACACCUGCAAGUCGAACGGAAAGGCCCUGCUUUUGUGGGGUGCUCGAGUGGCGAACGGGUGAGUAACACGUGAGUAACCUGCCCUUGACUUUUGGAUAACUUCAGGAAACUGGGGCUAAUACCGGAUAGGAGCUCCUGCUGCAUGGUGGGGGUUGGAAAGUUUCGGCGGUUGGGGAUGGACUCGCGGCUUAUCAGCUUGUUGGUGGGGUAGUGGCUUACCAAGGCUUUGACGGGUAGCCGGCCUGAGAGGGUGACCGGCCACAUUGGGACUGAGAUACGGCCCAGACUCCUACGGGAGGCAGCAGUGGGGAAUAUUGCACAAUGGGCGGAAGCCUGAUGCAGCAACGCCGCGUGCGGGAUGACGGCCUUCGGGUUGUAAACCGCUUUCGCCUGUGACGAAGCGUGAGUGACGGGAAUGGGGAAAGAAGCACCGGCUAACUACGU